GUAUCCUCAAAGGCUAUGUCUAUCAUGAACAGUUUUGUCAACGAUAUCUUUGAGAGAAUCGCUGCAGAAGCUUCCCGUCUCGCUCACUACAACAAGAGAUCUACCAUCACAUCUCGGGAGAUCCAGACUGCAGUUCGUCUGCUCUUACCCGGUGAAUUGGCCAAGCACGCUGUCAGUGAAGGUACCAAAGCCGUCACAAAGUACACCAGCAGCAAGUAAACAACGAGAAGUUUCACUUCACAAACGG
rnacentral:lncRNA from 1 species